rnacentral:rRNA from 1 species
AGGAUUAACGCUGGCGGUGUGCCUAAUACAUGCAAGUCGAACGGACUCUUAUUUGUUCCUUGUUCCUAACCUCGGUUGGGGCUAUGGAACAGUAAGAGUUAGUGGCGGACGGGUGAGUAACACGUUGGUACCUGCCCUUUAGUGGGGAAUAAUUCGCCGAAAGGCGGACUAAUACCGCAUGUGAUCUACGGAUUAAAGCCUUCGGGCGCUAAAGGAGGGGCCUGCGUCCCAUUAGCUAGUUGGUAGGGUAAAAGCCUACCAAGGCGACGAUGGGUAGCUGGAUCGAGAGGUUGACCAGCCACACUGGGACUGAGAUACGGCCCAGACUCCUACGGGAGGCAGCAGUAAGGAAUCUUCCACAAUGGACGAAAGUCUGAUGGAGCAACACCGCGUGCAGGAUGACGGCUUUAGGGUUGUAAACUGCUUUUAUAGAGGAAGAUUAUGACGGUACUCUAUGAAUAAGGACCGGCUAACUACGUGCCAGUAGCCGC